rnacentral:rRNA from 1 species
GGGUUGUGAGGUUAAGCGACUAAGCGUACACGGUGGAUGCCCUGGCAGUCAGAGGCGAUGAAGGACGUGCUAAUCUGCGAUAAGCGUCGGUAAGGUGAUAUGAACCGUUAUAACCGGCGAUUUCCGAAUGGGGAAACCCAGUGUGAUUCGUCACACUAUCAUUAACUGAAUCCAUAGGUUAAUGAGGCGAACCGGGGGAACUGAAACAUCUAAGUACCCCGAGGAAAAGAAAUCAACCGAGAUUCCCCCAGUAGCGGCGAGCGAACGGGGAGCAGCCCAGAGCCUGAAUCAGUGUGUGUGUUAGUGGAAGCGUCUGGAAAGGCGCGCGAUACAGGGUGACAGCCCCGUACACAAAAAUGCACAUGCUGUGAGCUCGAUGAGUAGGGCGGGACACGUGGUAUCCUGUCUGAAUAUGGGGGGACCAUCCUCCAAGGCUAAAUACUCCUGACUGACCGAUAGUGAACCAGUACCGUGAGGGAAAGGCGAAAAGAACCCCGGCGAGGGGAGUGAAAAAGAACCUGAAACCGUGUACGUACAAGCAGUGGGAGCACGCUUAGGCGUGUGACUGCGUACCUUUUGUAUAAUGGGUCAGCGACUUAUAUUCUGUAGCAAGGUUAACCGAAUAGGGGAGCCGAAGGGAAACCGAGUCUUAACUGGGCGUUAAGUUGCAGGGUAUAGACCCGAAACCCGGUGAUCUAGCCAUGGGCAGGUUGAAGGUUGGGUAACACUAACUGGAGGACCGAACCGACUAAUGUUGAAAAAUUAGCGGAUGACUUGUGGCUGGGGGUGAAAGGCCAAUCAAACCGGGAGAUAGCUGGUUCUCCCCGAAAGCUAUUUAGGUAGCGCCUCGUGAAUUCAUCUCCGGGGGUAGAGCACUGUUUCGGCAAGGGGGUCAUCCCGACUUACCAACCCGAUGCAAACUGCGAAUACCGGAGAAUGUUAUCACGGGAGACACACGGCGGGUGCUAACGUCCGUCGUGAAGAGGGAAACAACCCAGACCGCCAGCUAAGGUCCCAAAGUCAUGGUUAAGUGGGAAACGAUGUGGGAAGGCCCAGACAGCCAGGAUGUUGGCUUAGAAGCAGCCAUCAUUUAAAGAAAGCGUAAUAGCUCACUGGUCGAGUCGGCCUGCGCGGAAGAUGUAACGGGGCUAAACCAUGCACCGAAGCUGCGGCAGCGACGCUUAUGCGUUGUUGGGUAGGGGAGCGUUCUGUAAGCCUGUGAAGGUGUACUGUGAGGUAUGCUGGAGGUAUCAGAAGUGCGAAUGCUGACAUAAGUAACGAUAAAGCGGGUGAAAAGCCCGCUCGCCGGAAGACCAAGGGUUCCUGUCCAACGUUAAUCGGGGCAGGGUGAGUCGACCCCUAAGGCGAGGCCGAAAGGCGUAGUCGAUGGGAAACAGGUUAAUAUUCCUGUACUUGGUGUUACUGCGAAGGGGGGACGGAGAAGGCUAUGUUGGCCGGGCGACGGUUGUCCCGGUUUAAGCGUGUAGGCUGGUUUUCCAGGCAAAUCCGGAAAAUCAAGGCUGAGGCGUGAUGACGAGGCACUACGGUGCUGAAGCAACAAAUGCCCUGCUUCCAGGAAAAGCCUCUAAGCAUCAGGUAACAUCAAAUCGUACCCCAAACCGACACAGGUGGUCAGGUAGAGAAUACCAAGGCGCUUGAGAGAACUCGGGUGAAGGAACUAGGCAAAAUGGUGCCGUAACUUCGGGAGAAGGCACGCUGAUAUGUAGGUGAAGUCCCUCGCGGAUGGAGCUGAAAUCAGUCGAAGAUACCAGCUGGCUGCAACUGUUUAUUAAAAACACAGCACUGUGCAAACACGAAAGUGGACGUAUACGGUGUGACGCCUGCCCGGUGCCGGAAGGUUAAUUGAUGGGGUUAGCGCAAGCGAAGCUCUUGAUCGAAGCCCCGGUAAACGGCGGCCGUAACUAUAACGGUCCUAAGGUAGCGAAAUUCCUUGUCGGGUAAGUUCCGACCUGCACGAAUGGCGUAAUGAUGGCCAGGCUGUCUCCACCCGAGACUCAGUGAAAUUGAACUCGCUGUGAAGAUGCAGUGUACCCGCGGCAAGACGGAAAGACCCCGUGAACCUUUACUAUAGCUUGACACUGAACAUUGAGCCUUGAUGUGUAGGAUAGGUGGGAGGCUUUGAAGUGUGGACGCCAGUCUGCAUGGAGCCGACCUUGAAAUACCACCCUUUAAUGUUUGAUGUUCUAACGUGGACCCGUAAUCCGGGUUGCGGACAGUGUCUGGUGGGUAGUUUGACUGGGGCGGUCUCCUCCUAAAGAGUAACGGAGGAGCACGAAGGUUGGCUAAUCCUGGUCGGACAUCAGGAGGUUAGUGCAAUGGCAUAAGCCAGCUUGACUGCGAGCGUGACGGCGCGAGCAGGUGCGAAAGCAGGUCAUAGUGAUCCGGUGGUUCUGAAUGGAAGGGCCAUCGCUCAACGGAUAAAAGGUACUCCGGGGAUAACAGGCUGAUACCGCCCAAGAGUUCAUAUCGACGGCGGUGUUUGGCACCUCGAUGUCGGCUCAUCACAUCCUGGGGCUGAAGUAGGUCCCAAGGGUAUGGCUGUUCGCCAUUUAAAGUGGUACGCGAGCUGGGUUUAGAACGUCGUGAGACAGUUCGGUCCCUAUCUGCCGUGGGCGCUGGAGAACUGAGGGGGGCUGCUCCUAGUACGAGAGGACCGGAGUGGACGCAUCACUGGUGUUCGGGUUGUCAUGCCAAUGGCACUGCCCGGUAGCUAAAUGCGGAAGAGAUAAGUGCUGAAAGCAUCUAAGCACGAAACUUGCCCCGAGAUGAGUUCUCCCUGACUCCUUGAGAGUCCUGAAGGAACGUUGAAGACGACGACGUUGAUAGGCCGGGUGUGUAAGCGCAGCGAUGCGUUGAGCUAACCGGUACUAAUGAACCGUGAGGCUUAACCUUACAACGCCGAAG